ensembl:lncRNA
GAGUGGGGUGUGAUUGUGGACAAUCUUCUGACUGGUUGGUGGUGAGGAAAUCGGGGGUCAGCAUCAUCAACAUUCAGUUCCAAAAGGUCUGUAAUCUGUGUGCUUGUGGGCAGUUUACGGUUAACUUCUUCCACCCAGUGGGGCUUUCAGUAUCUGCAAAACAGCUCCAAGGCCAUGGCUCAGAAUAUUAUCUAUAGUCUCUGAGGAAGAACUAAAGGUCUUUGACUUUAAUGGCUAAAGUAUUAAUACUACUAUUUUGUUUUGCUUGACUGUUUUCCUUUCUUUCUGCAUUUUCUCACUUCUCUGGCCAAUUUUAUUCUUUGACCAAAGUUCUUCUACAGACAAAGGGGAAGGUGGAGAAUACAGACGUGGGGGCUCUAUUCUGGGAAGGCCUCACAGGGUCCUGCUCAGUUAUCUAACCUCAGAUGGAUUGUUUUGACUUGAAUAAAAGGGGUAAGAGAGGUUCUAGGCUAAGGUUACAGAGCUAGCACCACACAGGAAAUUAGUUAAUGCUUCACCCAGAGACAAACUUUUACAGCAAGUAAGGAGAAAAUGAAGUGCACAAAGUAAUACAGGGUGUCAUGCCUGUGGUCAUGUUUUUUAAUUCAAUUUUAUUAAAAUACAAUUCAAACUUUACAGUUAUUGUAUUAAGAUGGGAAAGACCAUGAAAGUCUUCUGUGCCAUGCAAGUACUGUCAACUUAAAGGUGAAUUGUAGUUUUAUAAAAUAUGAUUGACCUUUCUUUAACAAGUGGAAAACAUUAGCAUGUCAUGUGGCAAUACUGAAAAACAAAGCAUUAAAUCCCCUAAAAUUGUUUUUAUUGUAUAAAAAUGAAAAUCAAAAGAAACUCUAUAGGUAUUCACUAAAUAUAAUUCUUGCAUUUAAAAAUGUAUUUGAAAAUAUUUCCAUUUGAAUGUGAUUCUCAUUGCCAAAUGUUAUGUGCAUCUAAAAAACCUCUAUCAGUUCAGUCACUCAGUUUUGUCCAACUUUGCGACCCCAUGGACUGCAGCACACCAACCUUCCCUGUCCAUCAGCAACUCCCUAAGCUCGCUCAAACUCAUGUCCAUAGAGUCGGUGAUGCCAUCCAACCAUCUCAUCCUCUGUGGUCCCCUUCUCCUCCCACCUUCAGUCUUUCCCAGCAACAGGCUCUCUUCCAAGGAGUCAGUUCUUCACAUCAGGUGGCCAAAGUAUUGGAGUUUCAGCUUCAGCAUCAGUCCUUCCAAUGAAUAUUCAGGACUGAUCUCCUUGCAGUCCAAGGGACUCUCAAGAGUCUUCCCCAAUAUCACAGUUCAAAAGCAUCAAUUCUUCAGUGCUUAGCUUUCUUUAUAGCUUUAUAAAAACCUCUAGCUGCCCACAAAAGUGGAGGGAAGUUUUUCAACAUAUUUUAAAAGACUUCAAAUGAAAUAUUUCCGUUCAUGAGAUGUUUUGGGCCCACUGUUCUAUUCCAACUAGUUUGUAAAAACAACUUUUGAACAGCAGGAAAUAAAACUUUUAAUGUAAACUGUAAGUCAAAGAGUCAUUGUCAUAGAUUUCAAUGAGAGUAUGAUUAAUAAAUGCAACCAAGAACUUCCUUCUUCCUUUUAGAUCCACAUGUUCUCACCGGGUAUUUUUCCAUCUACAACCUCACUGAAGCAAACACUGACAUACUUGGAAUCAAACCUAAAAAUUUAUGAAUCACAGAGUACUAAUACGAAGUUUUUAAAAAAUAGGCCUAACAACUAGACAGAUUCACUAAAAAUCACUGUGCACUUGGAAUGAGUGAAUUUCAUGGUAUUUAAAUUAUGUGUUAGGACUUCGCAGGCAAGCACACUGGAGUGGCAGCCCCCACGGCUUGAACCCAGGUCUCCUGCAUUGCUGGUGGUCUCCUAACUCUGAGUCACUAGGGAAGCCCCUCUAAAUUAUACCUGUUGUUUACAAGGCCACACUCAAGAGCAAAGUUCUUUACAAAAACUCAUUUUACCUUACAAUUAAAUUGAUUGUUAGAAUUAACAGCUACAUCUUUGACUGCUUAUUUCAUCACUCAUCCUUUAUAUUUUCCCUUUUAUUUUUAUAAUGUGCAUAAUCUAUUAUUAAGGUACUUAAUCUUGGAUUAAAAGUUUGGUGCUGCAGUCCAUGGGAUCGCAACAAGCGGGACACGACUUAUGGACUGAACUACGAGGGCAGACGACCAAAAGAGCUUACAGACCUCUGUUCCAGACAGCAUCCCAAGGCCAUCCUCUGGAUCCUCGCCAGUAGGUAACCACGUUCGCACCCAGGUCGUCCCCCCAAAAACGAGCUCUUUACAUCAGUUCAGUCGCUCAGUCGUGUCCGACUCUGUGACCCCAUGGACUGCAGCACGCCAGGCCUCCCUGUCCAUCACCAAAUCCCAGAGUUUACUCAAACUCAUGUCCAUCCAGUCGGUGAUGCCAUCCAACCAUCUCAUCCUCUGUCAUCCCCUUCUCCUCCCGCCUUCAAUCUUUCCCAGCAUCAGGGUCUUUGCAAAUGAGUCAGCUCUCUACGUGCCUAGUCUUAAUUCUGGACACACCUACCCAGAUGGCAAACGACUCCAGUAAUUCUUGCUUGGGAAAUCCCAUGGACAUAGGAAGAAGCCUGGUGGGCUACAGACCAUGGGGUCGCUGAAGAGUUGGACACGACUUAGCAACUAAAUAUCAACAAGCCUUGGCUCACAGAAAGAGAAAGUGAAGUCGCUCAGUCGUGUCCGACUCUUUGCGGCCCCAUGGACUGUACCAUUCUACCAGGCUCCUCCAUCCACGGAAUUUUCCAAAGCAAGAGCACGGGAGUGGGAAGCCGUUCCCUUUUCCAGAGGAUCUUCCCGACCUGGAGAUCGAACCCCGGUCUCCCGCAUUGGAGGCAGACGCUUUCACGUCUGCGCCACCAGGCAAGCUCUGCACAAAGGAAAUGGCUUGACCCGCUCGGAGAGUGUUCAUUCCUUCCCCACUUAGCCUCCCCGACACCGUUCCCCCAGGCUCCCCAGUCCGUGACGUGGCCUCCAGCCCCCCAGCCCGCCCCCAGGGCCAAGAGCGCCCAGAGUGCCCUCCCACUGCCGCUAAGAGGAAGGGCGGACAGCGGGCCUCGAGGUUUGCGCAGGCGCCCUGGCGACCUCCGCGUUCCCGCCCGGGGUCAAGGCCUCCAGUGAGGCGCGGUCUUCCCGGAACCCGGUGUUGCAAGGCUUAGUAAGCAGUCAACGCCGAGAACCAGGGGGCGGGCGGCGGAGGCGGGGCCGCCCCUCCCCCCUCGACACCACCACCCC